rnacentral:rRNA from 1 species
GAUGAACGCUAGCGACAGGCCUAACACAUGCAAGUCGCGGGGCAGCGGGGCAGUAGCUUGCUACGGCCGCCGGCGACCGGCGCACGGGUGAGUAACACGUAUGCAACCUGCCCGUGGCAGAGGGAUAAUCGGGGGAAACCCCGUCUAAUACCGCAUAACGCCGAGAGGGGGCAUCCCCUCUUGGCCAAAGGGGCGACCCGGCCACGGAUGGGCAUGCGGCGCAUUAGCCAGUCGGCGGGGUAACGGCCCACCGAGGCGACGAUGCGUAGGGGUUCUGAGAGGAAGGCCCCCCACACUGGUACUGAGACACGGACCAG